GCCCCUGUAGCUCAGCCGGUAGAGCGAGUGACUGUUAAUCACUAGGUCCGCAGUUCGAGUCUGCGCGGGGGCG
rnacentral:tRNA from 1 species